AAACUUCCGCUUUCCCCAAUCUUUACUCUCUUCUUCUCUGAUUUUCACUCUUAUUUAAAAAGAAACUUCAGCCUUCCAUGCUCUCUUCUUUCUGCUUGCCUUCUUCUUUCAUGAAUCUCGUUUGGGAUUCAUGAAGUAAUUUCUUUUUACCUUAAUGAGAUUUUAAUGUUAAGAUUUGAAAUUGCGGUUUUAAGAAUAUAAUUUUCCCAAACAACUAAAAGGCACGGCUCGUAUAGAUCUGUGGAAUUUCGUUUUUGUCUUAGAAUUUUUUUGGACUACAAGAGGAAAGAAGCACUGUGGGUGGCAAAGAAUUUGCAAAGAAGUUGCAUAUUGAGAGGGAGACUGAUUUAUCGGAAAAUAUAAUUGAAGGUUUUGGGAUUCUGUCGAUAUCGGAGGUUCACAUUUGAAAGAUAAUACUUUCCUAUGGAUAAAUCUUGGAUUACAAAGCCAAGGAACACCACUGAGUAUUUGUUUGGGUUAAAUCAGUUUUUAGAUUUUGCAUUUGCUAAUGCUGUUGUGGGAGAUAGAAUAAAAUGUCCUUGUUCUAAAUGUGGAUUCGUAAAGUGGCAGACUAGAGAUGUAGCGUUUGAUCAUUUGGUAUGCAAACCAUUCCCUCAAAAUUAUGUCACUUGGAGUAUUCAUGGUGAAAGAAAUGUACUGCCUAAUUCUAUAAAUAUUGAGGUUAUACAAGAGACAUUACCUCCUGAAAAUCAUGUAGAAUUAUUGAUCAAUGAAGCAUUUGGGGGCCUAAGACACGAUAGGGUUGAUGUAGGUCCGUCAAAAGUAGAAGGGGGUGAAGAAAGGUUAAAUGAUGAGCCUGCUUCAAAUGACAAAGACUUUUUCGAGUUGCUUAGAGAUGGAAGUCAAGAAUUGUAUGAAGGGUCCAAGUACUCAAAACUAGAAUUUUUAUUAAAAUUAUAUCACAUAAAGUGUUUGUCUGGGCUAAGUGACAAGGGAAUGUCCAUGUCCAUGUCCAUAAAAUUGUAUCACAUAAUUUUUUUUCUUUGCAA